UUCUUAUUCUCAGAAUCGUUGAAGCAUUAUAAUGGCGACGAGAGAGCAAACAAGUCAGAGAGAGAGAGGUGCCGGUGAUUAUGUGAAACAGAAUCGUCGCCAACGUGAUUGCUUAAGAUCAAGGAGAUCAUCAUUCAAGGUAGAGACCAUGUACAAGUAAUUCCAUGAAUGGCACCAUGAGCCAACGUCCAAGAAGAAGAACACCUCCAAGUUUUGUUUCAAUCAUCCAUCACUUAUGUUUAAGUGCAAAUAUACUUUGUUUUAACCAUUCAUACUUUGGUUAAGGUUGGUUCUUGUCAUUGUGGGAGACACUCUGGUUCGAGAAAGACUACACAUUAUCUCCAUGAAGCUGCAGGUUGAAAGGAAAGAGCGAAGAGCAAGUCGAGGCGCUGUGAAAAGAGUUGUCUCAUCGUGCGGCUGGCUGUGCCAGGUUUGUAGUUCAUCUCUCUGCUCUGUGUUUUUGUGACCUCUAGUUUCAUGAAUUAACAU